GAUGAACGCUGGCGGCGUGCCUAAUACAUGCAAGUCGAGCGAACAGACGAGGAGCUUGCUCCUCUGACGUUAGCGGCGGACGGGUGAGUAACACGUGGAUAACCUACCUAUAAGACUGGGAUAACUUCGGGAAACCGGAGCUAAUACCGGAUAAUAUAUUGAACCGCAUGGUUCAAUAGUGAAAUACGGUUUUGCUGUCACUUAUAGAUGGAUCCGCGCCGCAUUAGCUAGUUGGUAAGGUAACGGCUUACCAAGGCAACGAUGCGUAGCCGACCUGAGAGGGUGAUAGGCCACAUUGGAACUGAGACACGGUCCAGACUCCUACGGGAGGAAGCAGUAGGGAAUCUUACGCAAUGGGCGAAAGCUUGACGGAGCAACGCCGCGUGAGUGAUGAAGGUCUUCGGAUCGUAAAACUCUGUUAUUAGUGAAGAACAAAUGUGUAAGUAACUAUGCACGUAUUGACGGUACCUAAUCAGAAAGCCACGGCUAACUACGUG
rnacentral:rRNA from 1 species